rnacentral:rRNA from 1 species
GCACUGUUUCGGCUAGGGGGCCAUCCCGGCUUACCAACCCGAUGCAAACUGCGAAUACCGGAGAAUGUUAUCACGGGAGACACACGGCGGGUGCUAACGUCCGUCGUGAAGAGGGAAACAACCCAGACCGCCAGCUAAGGUCCCAAAGUCAUGGUUAAGUGGGAAACGAUGUGGGAAGGCCCAGACAGCCAGGAUGUUGGCUUAGAAGCAGCCAUCAUUUAAAGAAAGCGUAAUAGCUCACUGGUCGAGUCGGCCUGCGCGGAAGAUGUAACGGGGCUAAACCAUG